rnacentral:lncRNA from 1 species
AUAUUUACCGUUUGUUCUCCUCAUUUUCUUUACGGUUUUUCGUGAAAACUAAUUAAAGAUAAUAAUUAUGUUUCCUCCUAAUAAUCGUGGGUAAUAUCCCGGGAAAUCGGAGGUGUGUCCAAUUCAACCAAUCACGAGGCGGGAUUUUCCCUACGUCAUUGUCCUCGUUCGCUACUUAAAAACAUCUAACAACCAUAAUGGAGAAUGACACCGAUGAAGUUUCGUCACCGAUACAGAGAUAAAGAGGUGUUUUAUUCACUUCCCGACUGUGGAUGAUGUCGUUUUGAAAGAAUUUACAGACACAAAAUGGUCCAAAGCUUUUGCUUCUGCUGAGAUUUUGAAAAAUACGGACGGAGAAAAGAGCAAAAUUGCGACGGAUUUCCUUGCCAAUGUCGCCCGUAUUGAACCGUAUACAGCGACAGUGGCAGUGGUGCAUUGCAAAUGACAAUGUUGUAAUUUGCGCUGCACUGGUACUGUCGCUGUAUGUAUACGGUUCAAUACCGGCGACAUUGGCAAGGAAAUCCGUCGCAAUUUUGCACUUUUCUCCGUAAAAUACCUCGAGAUUCUAACAAGACUGAAUUUGAAGAUCCAUCUGAUAUCCCUUCACAACCUAAGAAGCUGUGUAGGAGUCUACAAUCUCGGCGCUCAUCUGCCAGCUUUGAUUUGUUGGACCUAUUUGAGACCAUCAGCAUAAAAUUUACGCGUUCAUAUUGAGCACUAAAUGUAUGCAAUAUUUUUUGCUGUUUAUCAGCAGAUUUUUCAACAUUAACUGGUUCUAUUGAUAACAACAAAUAUAUAUGACAAAAUUAAAAUGAACAAAGGCAAGAUCAUUGUGAAACUUUUUCUCUGAUAUUUCUUAUUCAAUUUGGGGAUUAAAAAAAAAGAUUUUUUAUAUCCCUAUGGUUCCUUUGUAAAUUAUGUACAAAAUAACCAACCUUUCAUGAAUAGACAUAUACAAAUGUAUGGGUCGACUGGGGUGUUUUACAUAUACAUUAUGUGCACCUGUAAUAUAAGAAUAUACUAAAUAUAUGUACAGAUAUAAUUUCAGAGCUGGAAAAAUGUUUUUUUUAGAUGCCAAAAUUAAUCUCCCAAGGUUUGAUUGUUACAAACUGUUCCAAUUUAUAUUUCAUCAAGAGGCAAACAUUUCCUUCAAAUGUCAAGGAAACGAUGUCCUACAGUUCCCUAUUUAUUCCAGACCUGAUAAUUAUAUUGAUUAAUUGAUAAGAAUUGUAUCAAGGAAAGCAAAAUGAAUUAUUUUGCUAACAGUAAUAUUACAAGUAAUCACUUACAGUAAUGUACUAUUGUACUUGCAUUGCAUGCUCAUUUGUUUCAUAAUAAUAAUAAUAAUAUGGACAUUUAUUAUUUAUUAUGCAUACAUGUAUUUUGCCAUGUUGAAGCAUUGCCAAGAUUUAUAGUCAAAUAUAAAACUUUAUUACGUUCAAAUAUAUGGGUCGUUUCACACUUUCCAUCACACUCUUUGGACACUUGUUGUAAUCGAAAUAUGUAAAAUUUAUGAAUUCCUCAACAGUAACAGCUUUUUGGCAAUUUUUCUAUCAACAUAUUUUAGGACAUUUUCUUUGAACCAAAAAAAAAGACAACAAAUGACUAGACACAUCUUAUCAAUGUUUCAUAAUUUAUUUCAAUUCCAUCAAUAUUUAUGUAAAAACUGUUAACAAUCUUUGCAGUUCAAGUUAAAUUGUAUUUGUAAAUUACAACAUACAUGUACCAUAGUUCUGAUUUCACUGGCAGUGGCAAGUACCGGUAUUAGAAAAAGUACCCGGUAAUAAGCUACUUGUAGAUAAAUGUCAUUGACAAAAUGGUAGUACGGUAAUAUAUUUUACGUAAUGAAUGAAAUCAAAUUAAACAGAGAAGAAUAUAAUUUAUUUGGCAGUUUUGGUAUGAAUUUGUUGUUAGGUUUCUCUUUGAAAUUUGUAUUGUUCUAAAAUGAUGCUAUAUGCAGACCAUGAGCAGUGUUGCUAGUACUACCUAGUAUUAGUAUUAACAAAGUUUUGAACAGCAAUAUAUUUUUCGGGGAAGUGGAAAAUAAACUAAAAGCAACAAUAUUGAUGAUUUGAUUGGAAGGAGUUUGCACAGUUGAUGAAACUCAAUAAGACAUGUUGAAUAUAAUAAGGUAAAAUAUGAUGAAGGAGAGUGGAAGAGUAAGGAGAAAACAACAGGGGAAGAAAAAGAGAUUUUUAAGAGGAGACAUGAGAACAAAAAACGUGUGUGAUGAGAGAGAGAGAGAGAGAGAGAUAGAUAAUAGAGAGAGAGAGAGAGAAAUAGAGAAAAAAAGGUAGAGUUAAAUGAGUGACAUGAAUAUACAAACAGAUGGUAACUUAAACAAGAUGCAAGAAAUUACAUAACUUGGGCUUAACAAAACUCGUCUUGAUGACGUGCUGAAAAAAA